rnacentral:ribozyme from 1 species
CGUGGAGGAAAGUCCCACCACCACUUUGAUAUCCGGAUUGGGAGAGUUGCACAUGGAGAUUGUAUUGGAUCGAUUACGAAGGGAGUUUGGGGUGGAAGUGAGAACUGGCAAACCGGCGGUGACGUAUAGAGAAACGGUGGUGUUGGACGAUGGAGAGGAGGGAGUGGAAACGGAUGGAAUGGUG